CCUACGGGGGGCAGCAGUGGGGAAUAUUGGUCAAUGGGCGCAAGCCUGACCCAGCAACGCCGCGUGAAGGAAGAAGGCUUUCGGGUUUUAAACUUCUUUUCUCAGGGACGAAGCGAGUAACGCUACCUGAGGAAUAAGCCACGGCUAACUACGUGCCAGCAGCCGCGGUGAUACGUAGGUGGCAAGCGUUAUCCGGAUUUACUCGGUGUAAAGGGCGUGUAGGCUGGAAAGCAAGUCAGGUGGGAAAACCAUGGGCUUAACCUGUGGCCUGCAUUUGAAACUGUUUUUCUUGAGUACUGGAGAGGCAGACGGAAUGCGUAGUGUAGCGGUGAAAUGCGUAGAUAUUAGGAGGAACACCAGUGGCGAAGGCGGUCUGCUGGAGAGCAACUGACGCUGAGGCGCGAAAGCGUGGGGAGCAAACAGGAUUAGAUACCCUUGUAGUC
rnacentral:rRNA from 1 species